UACGGAGGAUUCGAGCGUUAUCCGGAUUUAUUGGGUUUAAAGGGAGCGUAGGCGGGUUGUUAAGUCAGUUGUGAAAGUUUGCGGCUCAACCGUAAAAUUGCAGUUGAUACUGGCAUCCUUGAGUACAGUAGAGGUAGGCGGAAUUCGUGGUGUAGCGGUGAAAUGCUUAGAUAUCACGAAGAACUCCGAUUGCGAAGGCAGCCUGCUGGACUGUAACUGACGCUGAGGCUCGAAAGUGUGGGUAUCAAACAGG
rnacentral:rRNA from 1 species